rnacentral:rRNA from 1 species
GAGUUUGAUCUUGGCUCAGAUUGAACGCUGGCGGCAUGCCUUACACAUGCAAGUCGAACGGCAGCACGGGAGCUUGCUCCUGGUGGCGAGUGGCGAACGGGUGAGUAAUGCAUCGGAACGUAUCCUGGAGUGGGGGAUAACGUAGCGAAAGUUACGCUAACACCGCAUAUUCUGUGAGCAGGAAAGCGGGGGACCUUCGGGCCUCGCGCUCUUGGAGCGGCCGAUGUCGGAUUAGCUAGUUGGUGAGGUAAAGGCUCACCAAGGCGACGAUCCGUAGCAGGUCUGAGAGGAUGAUCUGCCACACUGGAACUGAGACACGGUCCAGACUCCUACGGGAGGCAGCAGUGGGAAUUUUGGACAAUGGGGGCAACCCUGAUCCAGCCAUGCCGCGUGAGUGAAGAAGG